UGGGGAAUAUUGCACAAUGGGCGCAAGCCUGAUGCAGCGACGCCGCGUGGGGGAUGACGGCCUUCGGGUUGUAAACCUCUUUCGACAGGGACGAAGCUUUGGUGACGGUACCUGUAUAAGAAGCACCGGCUAACUACGUGCCAGCAGCCGCGGUAAUACGUAGGGUGCGAGCGUUGUCCGGAAUUACUGGGCGUAAAGAGCUCGUAGGUGGUUUGUCGCGUCGUCUGUGAAAUUCCGGGGCUUAACUUCGGGCGUGCAGGCGAUACGGGCAUAACUUGAGUGCUGUAGGGGAGACUGGAAUUCCUGGUGUAGCGGUGGAAUGCGCAGAUAUCAGGAGGAACACCGAUGGCGAAGGCAGGUCUCUGGGCAGUAACUGACGCUGAGGAGCGAAAGCAUGGGGAGCGAACAGGAUUAGAUACCCUGGUAGUCCAUGCCGUAAACGGUGGGCGCUAGGUGUAGGGGUCCUCCACGACUUCUGUGCCGUAGCUAACGCAUUAAGCGCCCCGCCUGGGGAGUACGGCCGCAAGGCU
rnacentral:rRNA from 1 species